GCCUUACAAAACGAAACCCGAUUAGA
rnacentral:rasiRNA from 1 species